GACGAACGCUGGCGGCGUGCCUAAUACAUGCAAGUUGAGCGCUGAAGGUUGGUACUUGUACCAACUGGAUGAGCAGCGAACGGGUGAGUAACGCGUGGGGAAUCUGCCUUUGAGCGGGGGACAACAUUUGGAAACGAAUGCUAAUACCGCAUAAAAACUUUAAACACAAGUUUUAAGUUUGAAAGAUGCAAUUGCAUCACUCAAAGAUGAUCCCGCGUUGUAUUAGCUAGUUGGUGAGGUAAAGGCUCACCAAGGCGAUGAUACAUAGCCGACCUGAGAGGGUGAUCGGCCACAUUGGGACUGAGACACGGCCCAAACUCAUACGGGAGGCAGCAGUAGGGAAUCUUCGGCAAUGGACGAAAGUCUGACCGAGCAACGCCGCGUGAGUGAAGAAGGUUGUCGGAUCGUAAAACUCUGUUGGUAGAGAAGAACGUUGGUGAGAGUGGAAAGCUCAUCAAGUGACGGUAACUACCCAGAAAGGGACGGCUAACUACGUG
rnacentral:rRNA from 1 species